rnacentral:rRNA from 1 species
GACGAACGCUGGCGGCGUGCUUAACACAUGCAAGUCGAACGGAAAGGCCCUGCUUUUGUGGGGUGCUCGAGGGGCGAACGGGUGAGUUACACGUGAGUAACCUGCCCUUGACUUUGGGAUAACUUCAGGAAACUGGGGCUAAUACCGGAUAGGAGCUCCUGCUGCAUGGGGGUGGUUGGAAAGUUUCGGUGGUUGGAGAUGGACUCGGGGCUUAUCAGCUUGUUGGUGGGGUAGUGGCUUAUCAAGGCUUUGACGGGUAGCCGGCCUGAGAGGGGAGCCAGCCACCUUGCGACUGAGGUACGCACCAGUCGCCAAUGUGAGGCAGCGGUGGGGAGUAUUACACAAUGGGCGGAAGCCUGAUGCAGCGACGCCGCGUGCGGGAUGACGGCCAUGGGGUUGUAAACCGCAUUAGCCUGUGACGAAGCGUGAGUGACGGUACUGGGAAAAGAAGCACCGGCUAACUACGUG